rnacentral:lncRNA from 1 species
GCUGUCGGCGCGUCAGACCACGCGCCGGCGCGUGGGGCUGCUUCCGGCCAGUUUUUGGCUUCGCUCCAGAAGGACAGUUUGGUCGGCCUUAAUUUCCUACCCUACCCAUCCUUGUUCCGUUCGAUUCCGACAACUUUCAGUUUUUCCGGCGACUUUUCCGGCAGCUAGACUUUCCGGCCAGAAUUUCAAAAAGUUUCAUCAGGACAGUAUCAUCGCCCUCAAAUUCCGAGCCUACUCAUGUUUUUACUUUUCAAUUCCGACAACUUUGAAGUUUUUCGGGCAUCUAUAGUGAUUUUCCGGCAAAAAAAAAAAAAUAGUUUUCCUUCAUCUGUUUCAGCAAAUUUUCAACGAUGUCUUUGGGAAUCGAUGCUUUCGGGUNNN